CCCUUAGAUGUCCUGGGCCGCACGCGCGCUACACUGAUGCAUUCAACAAGUUCACCUUGGCCGAGAGGCUUGGGCAAUCUUUUGAACAUGCAUCGUGAUAGGGAUAGAUUAUUGCAAUUAUUAAUCUUGAACGAGGAAUUCCUAGUAAACGUAGAUCAUCAAUCUGCAUUGAUUACGUCCCUGCCCUUUGUACACACCGCCCGUCGCACCUACCGAUUGAAUGGUCCGGUGAAGCCUCGAGAUUGUGGCCAGCUCGCUUUAUUGGGAGUUGGUUGCGAGAACUUGUCUAAACCUUAUCAUUUAGAGGAAGGUGAAGUCGUAACA
rnacentral:rRNA from 1 species